UGCCAUUAAGUGCAAGAAUGCAAGUGGAAAGUGUUCCCAUGUACUGGCACUUGUCCUGAUACUGGAAGGCUGGAAGAUAUCAGGCUAUCAAGCCAUUCCUUCACAGCCCUCUUCCACUAGCCUGCCUCAGCAGUGGGAUAAACCAAGGGGACCAAAGAUUGAAUCUGAAGCAGUGUCACAGAUAAUUAUUGCCAGGCCUGGAAAUCUCAAUAGGAAAAGGAGACCUGU